CCUACGGGUGGCAGCAGUAGAGAAUCAUUCACAAUGGGGGAAAGCCUGAUGGAGCGACGCCGCGUGGGGGAAUGAAGGUCUACGGAUUGUAAACCCCUGUCAUGUGGGAGCAAAUUAAAAAGAGAGUACCACAAGAGGAAGAGACGGAUAACUCUGUGCGAGCAGCCGCGGUAAUACAGAGGUCUCAAGCGUUGUUCGGAAUCACUGGGCGUAAAGCGUGCGUAGGCGGUUUCGUAAGUCGGGUGUGAAAGGCGCGGGCUCAACCCGCGAAUGGCACUUGAUACUGCGAGACUAGAGUAAAGGAGAGGGAAGUGGAAUUCUCGGUGUAGCCGUGAAAUGCGUAGAUAUCUGGAAGAACACUCGUGGCGAAGGCGGCUUCCUGGACAUUAACUGACGCUGAGGCACGAAAGCCAGGGUAGCGAACAGGAUUAGAUACCCCAGUAGUC
rnacentral:rRNA from 1 species